UACGAAGGGGGCUAGCGUUGCUCGGAAUCAUUGGGCGUAAAGGGCGCGUAGGCGGCCGAUCAAGUCCGACGUGAAAUUCCUCGGCUCAACCGAGGGCCUGCGUCGGAUACUGCUCGGCUUGAGUCCCGGAGAGGGUAGUGGAAUUCCCAGUGUAGCGGUGAAAUGCGUAGAUACUGGGAGGAACACCGGUGGCGAAGGCGGCUACCUGGACGGGUACUGACGCUGAGGCGCGAAAGCUAGGGGAGCAAACAGG
rnacentral:rRNA from 1 species